rnacentral:rRNA from 1 species
AUUGAACGCUGGCGGCAUGCUUUACACAUGCAAGUCGAACGGCAGCGCGGGCUUCGGCCUGGCGGCGAGUGGCGAACGGGUGAGUAAUACAUCGGAACGUGCCCAGUAGUGGGGGAUAGCUCGGCGAAAGCCGGAUUAAUACCGCAUACGACCUGAGGGUGAAAGCGGGGGAUCUUCGGACCUCGCGCUAUUUGAGCGGCCGAUGGCAGAUUAGCUAGUUGGUGGGGUAAAGGCCUACCAAGGCGACGAUCUGUAGCUGGUCUGAGAGGACGACCAGCCACACUGGGACUGAGACACGGACCAGACUCCUACGGGAGGCAGCAGUGGGGAAUUUUGGACAAUGGGCGAAAGCCUGAUCCAGCAAUGCCGCGUGUGUGAUGAAGGCCUUCGGGUUGUAAAGCACUUUUGGCGGGAACGAAAAGGACUGUGCCAAUACCACGGUUCGAUGACGGUACCCGCAGAAUAAGCACCGGCUAACUACGUG